UUUUCUGAAAAUUCAAAAUUUUAUCAUAUCUAGCCCUGGCCUGUACAAAUCUACUACCCUUUUUUUAAAUUUAUACCACGGAAAAUGCACUCGUCCUAAAAUGCCCUUGCAUUUGGCCAGAUUAUUAAAUCCGUACAAGAUGAGUGUACUCGUGAAAAAAACAGGGCAAGCAACCUUGUGAGCAGGCUUUUCAAUCCAUUUUCAUUACACAAAACACACAUAUUUGCCAUUUGAAUUUACAACAUCAAGAGACAACCAAUGCCGAUGCAUAAACUAAAGUCUACGCACUCAUCUCCACCCAGAAAAACUGACGUUGAUGUAGUCGUCUCCAACCACAAAUGGAUGCACUCUGAUUGCAAUGGUAGACCAAGUAGAGUUUUGGAGCAGUGGGUCAACUCAUAGUAGAGCAUGAGAGCAAGGGCAAUUUCAUCAUUUUUAUUAUGAUUGAAUGUUUUAUGUAUUUUGAGCUUUUCAUUUCUAUUUAUGCAUAUUCAAUCUAUGAUUUGGACUUUUCGGAUUUAUAUAAUUGAACUUUCAUGCAAUAAUUAAUACAUUUUUAAGAUGGUAAGAUUUUCA